CAGUCGCCGCGGGAAUACAGAGGGUGCGAGCGUUAAUCGGAUUUACUGGGCGUAAAGCGUGCGUAGGCGGCUAAUUGAGUCGGAUGUGAAAUCCCCGAGCUUAACUUGGGAAUUGCAUUCGAUACUGGUUAGCUAGAGUGUGGGAGAGGAUGGUAGAAUUCCAGGUGUAGCGGUGAAAUGCGUAGAGAUCUGGAGGAAUGCCGAUGGCGAAGGCAGCCAUCUGGCCUAACACUGACGCUGAGGUACGAAAGCAUGGGGAGCAAACAGGAUUAGAUACCCCAGUAGUCCCUGUCUCUUAUAC
rnacentral:rRNA from 1 species